CACCGGCAGCUCGAGUGGUGGCCAUUUUUAUUGGGCCUAAAGCGUUCGUAGCCGGCCUGAUAAGUCUCUGGUGAAAUCCCAUAGCUUAACUGUGGGAAUUGCUGGAGAUACUAUCAGGCUUGAGGCCGGGAGAGGUUAGGGGUACUCCCAGGGUAGGGGUGAAAUCCUAUAAUCCUGGGAGGACCACCUGUGGCGAAGGCGCCUAACUGGAACGGACCUGACGGUGAGUAACGAAAGCCAGGGGCGCGAA
rnacentral:rRNA from 1 species